rnacentral:rRNA from 1 species
GACGAACGCUGGCGGCGUGCCUAAUACAUGCAAGUGGGACGCAAGGGAACACACUGUGCUUGCACACCGUGUUUACUUGAGUCGCGAACGGGUGAGUAACGCGUAGGUAACCUGCCUAUUAGCGGGGGAUAACUAUUGGAAACGAUAGCUAAUACCGCAUAAUAUUAAUUAUUGCAUGAUAAUUGAUUGAAAGAUGCAAGCGCAUCACUAGUAGAUGGACCUGCGUUGUAUUAGCUAGUUGGUAAGGUAAGAGCUUACCAAGGCGACGAUACAUAGCCGACCUGAGAGGGUGAUCGGCCACACUGGGACUGAGACACGGCCCAGACUCCUACGGGAGGCAGCAGUAGGGAAUCUUCGGCAAUGGACGAAAGUCUGACCGAGCAACGCCGCGUGAGUGAAGAAGGUUUUCGGAUCGUAAAGCUCUGUUGUAAGUCAAGAACGUGUGUGAGAGUGGAAAGUUCACACAGUGACGGAGCUACCAGAAG